UACGUAGGGUGCAAGCGUUAAUCGGAAUUACUGGGACGUAAGCGUGCGCAGGCGGUUAUGCAAGACAAGAUGUGGAAAUCCCCCGGGCUUAACCUGGGAACUGCAUUUGUGACUGGGCAAGCUAGAGUAUGGCAGAGGGGGGUAGAAUUCCACGUGUAGCAGUGAAAUGCGUAGAGAUGUGGAGGAAUACCGAUGGCGAAGGCAGCCCC
rnacentral:rRNA from 1 species